UGAGGAAUAUUGGUCAAUGGGCGAGAGCCUGAACCAGCCAAGUAGCGUGCAGGAAGACGGCCCUAUGGGUUGUAAACUGCUUUUAUGUGGGGAUAAAGUGCGUGACGUGUCAUGCAUUGCAGGUACCACAUGAAUAAGGACCGGCUAAUUCCGUGCCAGCAGCCGCGGUAAUACGGAAGGUCCGGGCGUUAUCCGGAUUUAUUGGGUUUAAAGGGAGCGUAGGCUGUCUAUUAAGCGUGUUGUGAAAUAUACCGGCUCAACCGGUGGCUUGCAGCGCGAACUGGUCGACUUGAGUAUGCAGGAAGUAGGCGGAAUACAUGGUGUAGCGGUGAAAUGCUUAGAUAUCAUGACGAACUCCGAUUGCGCAGGCAGCUUACUGUAGCAUAACUGACGCUGAUGCUCGAAAGUGCGGGUAUCAAACAGG
rnacentral:rRNA from 1 species